GCUCUAAAAUGGCCUCAGCUUGCAAGUACUAAUGGUUUCACCUGGCUCUAGGGAAACUUCAGAAUAGGGGAAAAUGCUUCCUAGAGGUAAUAGUGGCCAGGUCUCUCUAUUUUAUAACAUAAGGAUUGAUGGAAGGAAGAAACCAGCAUUGUGGUGUGCGCUCUGCUGUUGGUUCCUCUGUUUAAAUUUACCUUAGAGCUAGGUAUUAGUUUCAGUGAAGGAUUUUAAUGAAAUGAGAAUUCCUUUUCUAUUAGCUUUUGUGUAGCCCACUCUUUGGGCUCUUCUACCCUGGUGCUGGAUUGCUCCAUCACAAUGUAUUCUCCUGCCUCUAGUGCAGUUCAUUCUUUUCUCUGAUACUGCUAAAAGUAAAAUACAUCUCUGCUAGGGAUAACUUUUGUCUCUAGCCAGUGAAUAGACUUCUGGAGAGCAAACUUUUGUCUUUGAAAUUCACAAGACUGCACCAAAUAGCACAUACUUUUCUUUUCAAGUUCUGUAUUCUCCCUCUGUCCCUUCCCCCGCAGUCAGCAUUCUUCCUUCAGCAAAUUACUCCAUUCUGGUACUGGAUAGUUGUCAUCUCUGCUGACAUUCCUACUGUCUUCUUAUGCCUCAUGGCAAAGUGUAAAGCUGGGAGGACAUGUCUUAAUGAGGUAUUCAGAGACAUGUAUUAGGCCUGGAUUUGCUUAGUAUCCUCAUUAAUGAUCUAGGAGAUUGAGUAAACAGUAUGGUAUCCACAUUUGUAAAUGGUGCUAAAUUACUUGAGAGGAGCUAUGAACAGAGUAACCGAAUGAAGAAACUAUACAGUUGGGUCCCAAAUAAUCAUGUUUACAAACAUGGAAGGUCUUGCUACCUAUUGCUGCUGUUUUCUGCUGGCUUCUCAAACACAGAACGCAAAAGGCCAAAAAGUGCAGUCUCUUCCCAUGAAGAAUGAGCAAACAGAUUUCUGGAAGACACAGACCAACCACUACUUUUUGGAUGAUGAGAAUACAAUUCCAGCAGGAGUACUGCAUGCCAAAAAAGACUAGGAUCAUGAUCUGGAGCAAUAUGGGCAGCUGUGUGUGCAUAAUGCAAAGUAGGACCCCAGUUUCCUGACCGUUCCAAAAGAGCAUGGUUUCUUCACCUUGGCUUUUGCAUCCUUGAUGGAGCUGAACAUCUUGCUAAUGGGAUUAGAGGUUCUCAUACCAUUUUUCAAGAACUUCAACAUUUGAAAUGACAGCUGGCUAACAGAAGAGAACAAAAGCAAAGAUCUACUAGGAUCAGGGAUAGGGAGCUGCAGUGAAAAAGUUAUGGGACCAGAUUUUCAAAACAGCUUGGCCCACAGCAGCUCCCAUUGUGAUGCUUCAAAGGAAUUCAGUGCUGAGUUGCAGAAAAUUUCCACUGCUAAUCUUGGUGUCUAAUUAGGAUCUGAGCUCUUUUGAGAAAAUGGCCCGGAUUGUGGGUUUAGACCUCUUUUUUGAAAUGUGGGCCAUACUACCUUGUAAUGGACCUUGCACUGCAGAGCUUUUACCACAGCCAUUUUGUCACAAGGACAUCUGGUCACAGGACAAUCUGUAGACAGUAGCAUAUAUGUACAGAUUCAUGAUUUCCAACUGUAGGCUUCAGAUACACUGCUGAGGACCACACUCAGCUUGAAGGUCCACAAUGAAAAAUCUCAUAAAAAAGGUCUUGAAACAUUGAUUCCAUCCUAUGAAAUGCUAUUGCAUCAGAAGUCAUUACUAGAUCUUCCUGAUGAGAGGCUUAAAGGUGAUAAGUCAUUUGUGAGCUAAUAUGAUCCUUACAUGAACUGGGAUAUGGGAUGGGAGCGGGGCAGAAAUUGGGGGAGCAGAAAAGUAGAGAUAAAAUAGAUGAAUCAAUGAAGCAGGAAAGAAGGGAAGAAAGAAGAGUGAAAAAUGCACCAAAGGCAAGAGAGGAAACAUGGAAGUAAAACAAAAUAUAGAAAUAGAUAAAGUAAAAUAGAAAGUACACCAAAAUAAUGAAAAACUGAGGCUAAUAAUUUGUAUAUAAAGCAUUUGCCUGCCAAAGAGCUUAAGAAACAGUGUACUAAUUUAAUAAUAAAAUAAAUGUUGUAUAAAGCUCUA